rnacentral:rRNA from 1 species
UACAGAGGUCCCAAGCGUUGUUCGGAUUCACUGGGCGUAAAGGGUGCGUAGGCGGUCUGACAAGUCUGAUGUGAAAUCUUCGAGCUUAACUCGGAAAUGGCAUUGGAAACUGUUGGACUAGAGGAUUGGAGGGGAGACUGGAAUUCUCGGUGUAGCAGUGAAAUGCGUAGAUAUCGAGAGGAACACCAGUGGCGAAGGCGAGUCUCUAGACAAUUCCUGACGCUGAGGCACGAAAGCUAGGGGAGCAAACAGG